CGUGACAAAACGCACAUGUUCGUUUGGCUUGGUGAUGCGAGUUUGGAGAGUCGGGCCAAACUGAAUCGUGCGCCUUGCGUUGCUCGCCUUUUCCCGUUAGCUAUGCCCGGGCACUUUUCCGCUGAAAUAAAAGCUUGAUGGCUGAGCUGUGUCAUUGCAACUAAAGCUUGGGACGUCCACUUUAAAGUUAAGAUUCCUGUGCCGAAGGACUUCCCACCCUCCAAUACCGCCCCGCAGCUUUUCCCGCAUUGCUAUGAGCUCACCGUGUGACCACAUCGUUGCAGUAGCGUACCGCACGGCACAGUACGGACAGCUGGGCGUCAACACAGUUCCGCCUCCUCUGUACUGAAAGUGAUGAGACUCGUCACCGACUCAUAACAAUGGAGUGAAAUACAUCAUGUUGCUCUCCAGCGUUACAAGAGAAGCGGUAUACAAAAGGAGCACCACAUGGUCCAUUAGCAUAUGUAUGUGUCCGUUUGUUUGGAAGUGUGGAUGUGCCGAGCAUGGUGGUUGAAAGUAAGUGUUUACAUGAGCGUUAGAAAGGAAAGUGUGGGUAAUGUCCAUAGAGUACGUACCUGUAGUUGUAAAUGUUUGUAAUUAUAGUUUUGAAAUAUGUAAAGUAAAUACUUUGUGGGGAGUUGUGCUCCGUUUUUGGCUUUGUAUAAAAAUGGCUCUCCAAAUGUUUACCUAAGGCAUACCGAUCUAUGCUGAUAUUGGGAAAAGAACAAUAUCGUUGCUUGUAUGGUGGUUUGUAAUAUAAUGUAAAUGAUAAAAUAGUAUAUAGGAGGUCAUGUCCAGUUAGCUAGGCAAAAGUCCCUUGAUUUGGUGGUUUAUUUUGAAGAGAAAUGUAUUAAUUCAAUGUUGUUUUUGUUAACAGUACUGUGCAAAAGUGUUUGAAAUAAGUGACUUGAAACGAUUUGUUUUCAGUGAAAAUAUGGCCUAUCUUUUGCUGUAGUGCGUGUAUAUAUCAGUUGACAUUUGAAAACGUUCCUGUUGCCAUUAAUGGCAAUAAUGCAGUGAGGUUUGUGUGGAAUGUAGAACCGUGGCAACGUCUCCAAGACACUUGAGAAAGCUACCUGAAAAAUGAAGUAUACCUCGGACAAAAGGUGCAAAACGCAAGGGGUGAUCAGUUAAUAGAAGUGAAUUGAUAAGUAAAAGGUAUUACUCAUUACUGAAAUAUUUUUGGACGGCAUUCUCACUGUACAGCAUUUUGACACGAGUGCCUUACAGUUUGAACAGUACUGUAGCUUUGCAGGACGAUUGCUUGAAGCAUCUUGGAGAUGUUGCCACAGUUCUUCUGGAUUUAGUCUGUGUCAGUUGGUUCUGUGUGGAGCACUGUCUGCUGUCAGACUCCUUGUGCAAACCAAAAUGUCACUGGAUUAUUACAAGGAAUUUUUGGGAAUGUGAAUGUUUCCCUGAUAUUUGGUGUGCGUGUAAAAAGAAAGGUAUGCCAGCACAUGGUGAUGACUGUUUAAAAUGGUGUAAAGAAAUGACUGACUUGACCAAUUAAUUGAAAAGUACUGAUUUGAUGCAGAAAACGGUACUAGUGUUGUAUAUUCCUCACUGUUGUGUUUUUCUGAAUGCAUAGAUGGGAAGACCUUGGGGCUGAAUUCAGAGGACGAGAUGUUGAAAAUGAGAGCGCUCCGGUUCAGAACGAGCGAGGUAAAGCCAAACCAGUAUCAGAAUCAUUAGAACAAUGCAGUAAAAUCAGGGUUAGAAUGAAAAGACCGUUUUCAGUAUGAUGAGCGUGUAUUUGAAUGUGUACAAAACUGACACGGCAAAUAGUUGUCCUGUUACCAAUGAGGGACAUACCACAAAGAUAGAAUGCUUCUUGUCAGUUCAGUUGAAUACAAGUGUAUUCACAUAUAUUCAUUAGAAGUUUGAAUAAAGAUGUUUGUGGUAAGCUUUAGGGUAGUUGGUGGGAGCCGUGUGUCAUAGAUGUUAUGAGAAUAUGGUGAUCGUGGUGUUGGAUUGGCUCCUCUUCGUCCUCCAUGAGUCUGACUUUUGUUGUUUUGGUUCUAUAAAUCAGCCGACACUGAAAAGCUGUCAUCCCGAAAACAGAAAAUCCCUAAUAAUAGUAUAACGAAGUUGAAGAGACGAGUGUGCAAUGUAAUAUGUUAAUAUUGACUUUGCAGAAAAAAAACCGAAUGCCACACAAUGGCAUGUUUUAAAGUACGCAUCCAGCAUGAGAAAAAAGAGAGGGCAGAUCUGGUGUUUGGCAUGUUUAUUGAAGGCACUGUCAGUCUUUAACGUGAGACCGUGUGAGGUAGAAAGAGCAGCAGGUUUCAUUUGGCUUGCAAAGAGUCUCUGUCAAUGUAGAAAUGAGGUGAAGUAAAAAAAAAAAAAAAAAAAGAGUAUCU